UGAGAUGUGACUUGCUCCUCCUUGCCUUCUGCCAUGAUUGUGAGGCUUCCCCAGUCACGUCGAACUGAUUCUCAUGAGGACAAAUUAGAGCACAUGUCACUAUAGCCAGCACUCAAGAAAUGGGAUUAUCACCAGAGGGAAAAAUGCACAGCCUCACCAGCUAUUAAACAUAUGGAAAUGAUGACAAUUUAAAGCUUAUAAAUAACAUUAGCGGUGGCUUGGAUUUAUUGUUGUGGCCUCUGGAAGAACUUG